ensembl:misc_RNA Metazoa_SRP Metazoan signal recognition particle RNA
CCUAGGGUGUGGUGGUGGGCACCUGUAGUCCCAGCUCCUUGAAAGGCUGAGGCAGGAGGACCACCUGAGCCCAGGAAUGCUGGCCUAGGGAGUGCUGUGCCGACUGGGUGUCCACACGAAGUCUGGCAUCAAGAUGAUGACCUCCUGGGAGCAGGUGACCACCAUGUUGUCUAAGGAGGGGUCAACCAGCCCACACUGGAAACAGAGCAGGUCAAAACCCCUGUGCUAAUCAGUAGUGGGAACAUGCUUGUGAAUCACUCCAGCCUGCACAACACAGUGCGACCCUUUCUAUA